AUUACCGAGUUUACAACUCCCAAACCCAAUGUGAACGUUACCAAACUGUUGCCUCGGCGGGAUCUCUGCCCCGGGUGCGUCGCAGCCCCGGACCAAGGCGCCCGCCGGAGGACCAACCUAAAACUCUUAUUGUAUACCCCCUCGCGGGUUUUUUUUAUAAUCUGAGCCUUCUCGGCGCCUCUCGUAGGCGUUUCGAAAAUGAAUCAAAACUUUCAACAACGGAUCUCUUGGUUCUGGCAUCGAUGAAGAACGCAGCGAAAUGCGAUAAGUAAUGUGAAUUGCAGAAUUCAGUGAAUCAUCGAAUCUUUGAACGCACAUUGCGCCCGCCAGUAUUCUGGCGGGCAUGCCUGUCCGAGCGUCAUUUCAACCCUCGAACCCCUCCGGGGGGUCGGCGUUGGGGAUCGGCCCUCCCUUAGCGGGUGGCCGUCUCCGAAAUACAGUGGCGGUCUCGCCGCAGCCUCUCCUGCGCAGUAGUUUGCACACUCGCAUCGGGAGCGCGGCGCGUCCACAGCCGUUAAACACCCAACUUCUGAAAUGUUGACCUCGGAUC
rnacentral:rRNA from 1 species